GGGAUUUGAUAACCUCAGAAGCCAGAGUGUUUCGCCACCUGGUGGACCAUGCGUAACAUCAAUGAUAGGAAUCGCAUUCUUCUUUGCAUUUUAAACAUGUGCAAAGAGAUCUUGGGCCGUCUUCCCAAAGUCGUUGGCAUAGAUAUUGUUGAGAUGGCUCUUUGGGCAAAGG